GGGAAUUUAGGUUAACAUAUUUUAAACCCAGAACCUUCAAAAUUCUAAACGAAAACAUAAAACUUUCAAUUCCCA
rnacentral:tRNA from 1 species